UACGAAGGGGGCGAGCGUUAUUCGGAAUCACUUGGGCGUUAAAGGCGUGCGUAGGCCGUCUAGCAAGUUGGAAAGUGAAAGCCCAGGGCCUCAACCCUGGAAUUGCUUUCAAAACUGCAAGGACUAGAAUCUCGGAGAGGAUAGCGGAAUUCCCAAGUGUAGUAGUGAAAUACGUAGAUAUUGGGAGGAACACCAGUGGCGCAAGCGGCUAUCUGGACGAGUA
rnacentral:rRNA from 1 species